rnacentral:rRNA from 1 species
GAUUGACGGACUGAAGGCUCUUUCUCGAUUCCGUGGAAAGUGGUGCAUGGCCGUUUUUGGUUGGUGGAUCGAUCCGUCUGGUUAAUUCCGUUAACGAACGAGACCUCGGCACUCCGAAUAGCGCGGCGGACGUCGCGGCCUCCGGGCCGUCUUCCGCACGAGCUUCUUAGAGGGACCGUCCCCCGCCGGGGAAGGAGGUGCGAGGCAACGACAGGUCUGUGAUGCCCUUAGAUGUUCUGGGCCGCACGCGCAUUACACUGACGCGUCCAACGGGUGACUCCCGACCCGAAGGGGCCGGGGAAUCCGCAAGGCGCGUCGUGAUGGGGAUUGAACGUUGCAAUUGUUGUUCACGAACGAGGAAUUCCUAGUAGGCGCGGGUCAUCAACCCGCGCCGAUUACGUCCCUGCCCUUUGUACACACCG